GCAGUCGAACGGAAGGCCCUGCUUUUGUGGGGUGCUCGAGUGGCGAACGGGUGAGUAACACGUGAGUAACCUGCCCUUGACUUUGGGAUAACUUCAGGAAACUGGGGCUAAUACCGGAUAGGAGCUCCUGCUGCAUGGUGGGGGUUGGAAAGUUUCGGCGGUUGGGGAUGGACUCGCGGCUUAUCAGCUUGUUGGUGGGGUAGUGGCUUACCAAGGCUUUGACGGGUAGCCGGCCUGAGAGGGUGACCGGCCACAUUGGGACUGAGAUACGGCCCAGACUCCUACGGGAGGCAGCAGUGGGGAAUAUUGCACAAUGGGCGGAAGCCUGAUGCAGCAACGCCGCGUGCGGGAUGACGGCCUUCGGGUUGUAAACCGCUUUCGCCUGUGACGAAGCGUGAGUGACGGUAAUGGGUAAAGAAGCACCGGCUAACUACGUGCCAGCAGCCGCGGUGAUACGUAGGGUGCGAGCGUUGUCCGGAUUUAUUGGGCGUAAAGGGCUCGUAGGUGGUUGAUCGCGUCGGAAGUGUAAUCUUGGGGCUUAACCCUGAGCGUGCUUUCGAUACGGGUUGACUUGAGGAAGGUAGGGGAGAAUGGAAUUCCUGGUGGAGCGGUGGAAUGCGCAGAUAUCAGGAGGAACGCCAGUGGCGAAGGCGGUUCUCUGGGCCUUUCCUGACGCUGAGGAGCGAAAGCGUGGGGAGCGAACAGGCUUAGAUACCCUGGUAGUCCACGCUGUAAACGGUGGGUACUAGGUGUGGGGUCCAUUCCACGGGUUCCGUGCCGUAGCUAACGCUUUAAGUACCCCGCCUGGGGAGUACGGCCGCAAGGCUAAAACUCAAAGGAAUUGACGGGGCCCCGCACAAGCGGCGGAGCAUGCGGAUUAAUUCGAUGCAACGCGUAGAACUUUACCUGGGUUUGACAUGCAUCGGGAGUGCU
rnacentral:rRNA from 1 species